UUUAAGGAAGAGGUGUGAUUAUAAAGCAGUGAGACUGAUUUGGGGUGUGCAGCUUCUGGAAUCAGUCUCAUUACUUUCUACUCUCACCUCUGAGACAG
rnacentral:pre_miRNA from 18 species